AAACAUAUAGCUGAGUGGUAAAGCAUCUGGUGUACAUACCAGAAGAUCCGUAGUUCGAGCCUACAUAUGUUUC
rnacentral:tRNA from 1 species